GCUCAGGUGGCCGAGUGGUUUAAGGCGGCAGUUUUAAGUUAUAAUGCUUCAUGCAACAUCUUAUUACACUGCUGACGAAAGUCGCGCGAGUUCGAACCUCGUCCUGAGCA